GGUGCUGCGAGCUUCCCAGCCCUCAAAGAGCUGUUGGGGGGGGGGGGUCCCGGGUAUCUCGAAUCCCACCGGCAGGAUUCGGCCUUCCUGGAGAAGCAGCGGCGCUGCCGCUACCUGCAGGAGAAGCUGAGGCACAUCAAGAGGCAGAUCCAGGACUAUGACCGUGGUGGCACCGUCUACUUCUGAGCCUGCUCACGGGGGGGACCCCAAACCCCGGGGACCCCGCAGGGCUCAGCACCUUGGGGUGCCGGUGCUGCGGGGGCGAGCAGGGGGCACCCGCUGCGCCCCACACGUUGCACCCAUCUGGGUAUGGGGAGCAAACCUGCGGGUUUUGGGGUGCUUCUGGUGGCUCUGCACCUGCUGUGGAUUCGGGAGCACCCCCAGGGGUGCAGCUGUGGGGGGGGCAGAGCUGCUUUUAAUAAAAUCUGGUGAUGUUUUUUUGGGGGUCUUCAGUGCGUGUCCUGGGGUGCCCACGGAUGAUGGAGGUGGGUGGGCUCCAGCAGCUGGCAACCCCCCCAGGGACACUGCUGUCCCCUGGGAUAACGAAAGGAGCCCUGGUGCCCAACAGGACCCCCCCGUGCCACGGCUCCGGAGCGGGGGGGACACGGCCCUGGCCUCUUUGCGCCCCCCCAGCCCCCAGGGACCCCGAGCCCCCUCCAGCCCCCGCUUUUCUCACUCCACGUGUGAGCUCCCCAAAGCCCCCCCCAAAAUCCCCGGAGCCCCCGAGCCCCCGCCGCCACCUCCCCACGGGCGGGGGCCGGGCGGGAGCAGCGGGGCCGCCCCCGGGGCUCCCCCCGGAGGCGGAAACCGGGGCCGGUUCCCUGCAGCGCCCGGCGGCGGCGGUGCCGCUGCUCCCGGCUGCCAUUUUACGGGAACAAAGAGGCGGAGGAGCGGCCAGGUAAGGGGCUCCGGGACAAGGAGCGGGGGGGCAGGGGGGUGUCCCGGGGGCUCGUUCCCCUCCGCGCACCGGGGGGGGCUCAGGGAGCCCCGGUGGCUCCGUCGGGACCGGAGCGAGCGCGCACGGUUCCCUCC
rnacentral:lncRNA from 1 species